UUGAAUCAGAUUGUGUUCCUUUUAAUCCCAUUGCUUCCUGUCUGUCAUAGAUAAUAUGUGUGGAGUGCAAGGUGUCAGCCAGAGGAGGGACUCAGAAACAGUACAGGACCCAGCAACACAAGUCAGGUUAGGAGGAAAGGGCUGUGGUGCACUCAACCACAAAGGAGCAAAGAAGCUACAAAGUGAUUGAAGAAGCCAGGAUGAAGCGUAGAGCUAGUAGGUGGGAAAACCGAGAAGAGGGAGCAGAGGGAAGAUGAAGGAGAGAGGGAAGAUGCCCAGAGAGAGCAGGAGGCUCAGAGAGGAGUGGUACAAAUGGCAAUACAGUGCUGAGGCCACCACCAGUUGGGCGUAGCAAGUGUUGAUGAUUGGGAACAAAGGCUGCUGCAGCAGCAGUAGCCUAGAAUGGUGAGGUCAACUAAAUCAAAAGCAACACAUCCAGCUCACAUAGCCAAGCAUCUUAAGGGGAGGUAUUUUGUAAGAGACUAAAGGGAACAGAUAAAAUCAAACUGACCGCAUUGUUAGGGUUUUUUUGGUCAAGUGGAAACAGUCCUCUAUAUUGUGUUGGAACCCCAACCAGACUUUUUCCUAUGCUCUUCACUAUGGAACUCUGCUGAUCUGGAACUAUAUGACACAGAGCCAUCUCUGAAAAGCCCAGGUGCUGUGACACUGUGCUUGCCAAAUGAUGAAACAGCUGUUUGAAGUUCUUCUCAAAGUGUUAUCAGGAUCAUAAAAUGAAACCUUAAGGAAGACAAACUAAAAUCAAACAGUAGUGCUCCAUGUACCAAGGGGCUUAAUCUUUUUGAGGAAAAUGUGACAGUUUACAUUUUUGGUGCUUUAAAGGGCUGUAAUUCAUUCUGUCUUCUGCUGAAAUUAAACAAAUGCAGCUAGGCAUGUGGCACAUGUUUUGUGGAAAUACUGCACAAUGUUUAUGGCUCAUUGAGAAAGGUUAUUUAGUAUGAAUAAAUUCAAAUCUCCAUCCUGAUUAAACAUGACAGCAUAAAUAAGUUAAUUUAUAAGAAUAUAGAACAUGGUUGGAUCAGCUAAUAUCUUUAUUUGACCAAUAUCUGCUGGUGGUGAGGCAUGCUUUCUAGAGCAUUUGGUCCAGGUUUGUGAGUCUACAAAUGCUUAUUGAUCCCAUAAAUGCUCACGUUAUUCUAUGUUGCUAUGUAGCUAUUUUCACAGAAAACCAUGAAGGUUUAGCAGUUGAUUUCUUGUAAUUCAAAGCAAUUCUAGAUUUGGCAAACAUGUUUUCAAUAUUAGCGCUAAGCUUUUUUUUUUUUUUUAUAAUAUUUUUUAUUGCAUUUUUCCAGAUAGAAAUACAAGGUCAGAUAUACAAAGAAAUAACAGAAAAAAGAAAGAAAAAGAAGAAAAUCAUCUUUUCAAAACAUUUUUCCAUAACCAACCGGACUUCCCCGUCCCCCUCACCUUGCGUUCUUUACAAUAAAAUUUUUCAGCAAAUUAUAACCUUAUUUCGUGCAUUCUUUUGUUCUUUCAAAUACUUGUGAUUUGCGUUUAAAAUGCUUAUUGUCAAUUUACACUAAUAAUAUAUAUAAUGUUCUUUUAAACGUUAGUCCUUUCAUUAAUAUAGCUUAGUUUCCCAUACCUUAAUCUUAUUGCUGGAGCUGAAUUUCCCUAAUCAUGCGAAUUCUUAACAUUCAUAUAACUUAUAAAAUUUUUGUAAAUAAUCUUUAAAUUUUUUCCAAUCCUCCUCCAUUGCUUCUUCCUCCAAAUCUCGGAUCCUGGCGGUCAUCUCGGCCAAUUCCAUGUAGCCCAUCAAUUGCGUCUGCCACUCUUCCAGCGUGGGUAAAUCUUGAGUCUUCCAGUAUUUUGCGAUAAGAAUUCUUGCUGCUGUAGUUGCAUACAUAAAAAGGUUCUAUCCUUCUUUAACACCUUCUGACCGACAAUGCCCAGUAGGAAGGCCUCUGGUUUCUUGGGAAAAGUGUACUUAAACACUUUUUUUAACUCGUUAUAGAUCAUUUCCCAGAAGGCCUUCACUUUUGGGCAAGUCCACCAGAGGUGAAAGAAUGUCCCUUCAGCCUCCUUACAUUUCCAACAUUUAUUAUCAGACAAAUGAUAUAUCUUAGCAAGCUUGACUGGGGUCAUGUACCACCUGUAUAUCAUUUUCAUAAUAUUCUCUUUCAAGGCAUUACAUGCCGUGAAUUUCAUACCAGUGGUCCAUAACCUUUCCCAGUCUUCAAACAUAAUGUUGUACCCAAUGUCCUGAGCCCAUUUUAUCAUGGCUGAUUUAACUGUCUCAUCCUGAGUGUUCCAUUUAAGCAGCAAGAUAUACAUUCUCGAAAGUACCUUGGUCUUUGGUUCCAACAAUUCUGUCUCUAGUUUCGAUUUUUCCACCUGGAAACCUGUUCUUUUGUCCAGCUUAAAAACCUCUUGAAUUUGAGCAUAGUGAAGCCAAUUUUGCACCUUAUUCUUUAAUUUUUCAUAACUCUGCAGCCUCCAAGUUUCUCCUACUUUUUCUAUAAUUUCCCCAUAUUUCAGCCAACCAACCUCCAUAUUAGGUUUUUUCCGGGCCUUGGCCUCUGCUGGUGAAAGCCACCUCGGAGUCUUACCCUCUAAUAAGUCCUUGUAUUUUGUCCAGACCAUAAAUAUUGAUUUUCUAACAAUAUGAUUUUUGAACAUUUUAUGAACCUUUGCCUUGUCGUACCACAAAUAUGCAUGCCAACCAAAAGCAUUAUCAAACCCUUCCAGAUCUAGAACAUCAGUGUUCUCAAGAAGUAACCAAUCUUUCAUCCAGCAGAAGGCCGCAGCUUCAUAAUAUAAUCUCAAGUCCGGCAGGGCAAACCCCCCUCUUUCUUUCAAAUCAGUUAGUAUUUUAAACUUUAUCCGGGGCUUUUGCCCUGCCGGACAAACUUAGAUAUAUCCUUCUGCCACUUUCCAAAACAUUCCACUCUGUCCACAAUCUGUAGGGUUUGAAACAAAAAUAACAUUUUCGGCAAUACAUUCAUUUUUAUAGCAGCAAUUCGACCCAACAAGGAAAGUUUCAAUCUUGACCAGAUUUCCAAAUCUUUUUUGAUUUCCAGCCAACAUUUUUCAUAGUUGUCUUUAAAUAGAUUCAAAUUUUUCGCUGACAAGUGAACCCCUAGGUAUUUCACUUUUUUUACCACACUUAGUUCUGUUUCCUUCUGAAACCCAUCUAUUUCUGAGGGUGUCAAGUUUUUCCCCAAAACCUUAGUUUUUGCUUAUUCAACUUAAAUCCCGCCACCCGACCAAACUCAUGAAUCAAUUCUAAUACUCUUUUGUACUAGAUUCUGGCUCCUGUAAUGUUAAAACCAAAUCAUCUGCAAAAGCUUUCAAUUUAUAUUGUUUCGCUCCGACCUGUAUUCCUUGUAUCAACCGGUCCUUCCUAAUCAUGUUCAGUAACACCUCCAGGACUGAAAUAAAUAAAAGGGGGGAUAGGGGGCACCCUUGUCGUGUCCCUUUUUCAAUUUUGAACUCAUCUGUCACCACAUUGUUUACUAUCAAUUUAGCUUUUUGCUCAGAAUAAAUUGCUUCUAUUCCAUUUUCAAACCCCCGUCCCACUCCCAUCCCUUCCAGGUUUCUCUUCAUAAACAUCCAAGAAAUAUUAUCAAAGGCCUUCUCCGCGUCGAUGAAAAUUAACACAGCUUUCGUAUUGAUAUUAGUUUGUAAAAGUUCCAAAAUAUCAAUAAUGUUCCUGGUAUUAUCAAAAGAUAUCUCCCUGGGAGAAAGCCUGCCUGGUCCUUAUGAAUUACUUCGUUAAGUAUUUUUUAAGUCUGCUCGCCAAAAUAUCAGCAAAAAUUUUGUAAUCCACAUUUAGGAGUGAGAUGGGACGGUAGUUCUUAAGCUGAGUCUUUUCAGAUUCCAAUUUAGGAAUCAAUGUGAUGAAAGCUUCUUUCCACGUUUCCGGUGCCCUCCUCCCCUCCAUAAUCUGGUUACAGACCUCCAUUAGUGGUUGUAUCAAAUAGUCUUUUAGUGUCUUAUAGUACUUGGAGGUAAGUCCAUCUGGGCCUGGAGAUUUACCUAGUUGCAUAUUCUGAAUGGCACCCUCUAUUUCCUGUCGUGUUAUUCUAUUAUUUAAGAUUGUCCUCUUCUCCUGAGAUAGUUUGGAUAGACCGUUAACUUUUAAAAAUUGAUCUAUCUCAGACGCUUCCUGAGGCCCUUGUGUAUAAAGUUUUUGAAAUAUUUCUGGAAACACUUUCUAAUUUCUUCUGGUUUCUGAAUGUUUCUCCCUUCCACCUCUAGAUUAGUGACAAAGUUCAAUUUUUGUCUCUUUUUCAACUGCCAUGCUAGCAGUUUUCCACAUUUAUUUGCCGAUUCAAAUGAUCUUUGUUUCAUUUGUUUGAUUUUCCAUUCCACUUCUUGAUUUAUCAAUUUCGCAUAUUGAGCUUGGUGGAAUUUGAUUUCUCUUAAAACCUCUUUUGAUUUUGGUUUUAAUCUCAAUUUUUCUCUCCUUCUCUUAUCUUCUCUAAUAUCCUAUCUUUUUUCCCAUUCCAAAGUUUUUUCUUGAUUGUGUUCUGUUGUAUCAGAAACCCCCUCAUUACAGCUUUACUUGCGUCCCAGAUUGUUCUCUUUUCCACCGAAGUGUUCAAAUUGAUUUCAAAAUAGUCCUUUAAAGUUUUUUGGGCCUUCUUCACAAUCUCCUGAUCUCUUAGUAGGGUGUCAUUCAUUUUCCAUCUGAAAGAACCGGUUGGAGUAAGUCUCAAUUCCACUUUCAAAGCAUUAUGGUCGGAGCAAGUCUUUGGACAGAUUUCCACUUUUCUGAUCUUAGGUGCCAGUCCUCUAGUUGUCCAUAUUUGGUCGAUUCUUGUCCAUGAUAGGUGGGCCUCAGAAAAAAAUGUUCCUUCUUUACCUAAGGGGUUCCUUGUCCUCCAAAUAUCAAUCAAGUCCAUGUUAUCAGUUAGUUCAAAGAAGGUUUUAGGUAGUCUGCCGUCUUUAGUUAAAUUUUGAUUUUGUGACUUAUCCAUGUGAGUAGAAACCACCCCAUUCAUAUCGCCCAUCAUUAUGAUGUUGGUAUAGUCCAGAUAGUCCAGCAUUAUCUCAUGCAGCUUCUUGUAAAAUUCCGAUUUCCCUCAUUUGGUGCAUAUAUUCCUAAAAUCAAAAACUUUUCUCCUUGUGUUUGUAUCUCAAUUGCCAAAAUUCUUCCUUGCUCAUCUUUAAACAGAAAUUUCGGUGACAGGUUCUCCUUUGCAUAAAUCACUACGCCUCUUUUCUUGACUUUGUCUGAUGAAAUAAAUUCUUGGCCUAGUCUUUUGUUAAUUAACACUUUCCUAUGGAGCCUAGUCACAUGCGUUUCCUGCAAGCAAACAAUAUCCAAUUGUUCUUUUUUCAAAAUAUGAAAAAUCCUUCGUCUUUUUUCCGGGGAAUUCCCGCCAUUUAUAUUCCAACUGUACAGCUGCAGAGACAUUCUGAAUCAAUCUGUUGUUCCUAUAGUGGGGUGUCUUCCUUUUCUUCC
rnacentral:lncRNA from 1 species